UACGUAGGGGGCGAGCGUUGUCCGGAUGUAUUGGGCGUAAAGAGCGCGUAGGCGGCCAGGUAGGUCCGACGUGAAAUCUCGAGGCUCAACCUCGAGCGGUCGUUGGAUACCGCCUGGCUAGAGUCCGGAAGAGGAGAGUGGAAUUCCUGGUGUAGCGGUGAAAUGCGCAGAUAUCAGGAAGAACACCCAUGGCGAAAGCAGCUCUCUGGGACGGUACUGACGCUGAGGCGCGAAAGCGUGGGGAGCGAACAGG
rnacentral:rRNA from 1 species